rnacentral:lncRNA from 1 species
ACGCAAGUAGAAAAGCUCAUAAGGGUAUGAUCAGCCCAUGAUGGGUGCCUCAUUAAAACCUAGUUAGGUAGCAAAACCCCAGUGGGAAAAAUGCUCCUAAUCGUAGGGAAAAAGAGUACAUUAAGAUCAAGUGAGUAUAUUUCUGGAUACUCCCCCUGAGUUUGACAUAACUGAACUACAAGUAUUGCAUAUGAAUAGUUAAGCAUACCAAUUCCUCGGACAAGCUUCUGGAAAGUUGACUUCGGCAGUGACGCUGUGAAGAGGUCGCCAAGGUUGUCUAGGAUCGACUUGCAUGACUUCAAUCUCCUGAUGCUUUGCUGAUGUAGAUGUAGACGUAAUAUGUCUUAGCGUUUUGAUACAUGCAGCAUAAUCUUCAUGGAUCGUCGUUGGGACUCAAUGAUGGAUGAAAAAUAGCAAGUACUUCGAAUAUAACAAGAACUCUUAACCAUGUUUCACUUGUGGCGUAAUGAAGUGAGGUGAGUCUUGGAACGAUUCGAAGACUUCGCAACUAAGGUCAUAUCUUGGACCUCCAAGAUAUUGCUAUAUCCCUAACAAUAAAGACAUAACCAUUUGGGGAUUUUACCUUGUGCGCGUUUGAUAAGUAACUAGCCUUAUCAUAACAAACAAGGCAAACAUCAUUUUGAGGAUCAGGGGAGUUGGAUCCGCUUGAGAUGCGUUGGGAUUUAAUUUGCCCAAAUUCGUUGUACCUUCAGGGUACAUCUUUAAUACCAAUUCAGUGGUUGCAUGUUGGUGCGGUGCUGCAUCUUUACCAAGAUCAACAGCGAAGGAGAUGUCGUGUCUUAAUACAAUGAGCUAAGUACAACGAAGCACAAAGUUGAACUUUAGAUAUGGAAUUUCGGAUUCCAUAACCUCUUCAAGGAUUUCAUUUGUAUAUAACGUAUGCACGAUCAUGGGUAUACUCAAAGGUGACACAUUCAGGGUGUAGUUCAACUAGUAGACCAAAAUACCGUCAGAACAAUGCUUCAACUUCGGGUUAAGGCAUAAACGAGUUUUCCCAAGAUCCCUCAUCUCAAAUUCCAUCUUCAUUUGCGAGGCAGUUUUCUCAAGCUCUUCCGGAGUCUUAGUGAGAUUCGUGUGAAUGACAUAAACUGUAACUCUAGCAAUUUGGAAUAAGACUUCAUAGUUUAACAUGCAAGGGCAUAAUUCAUCCUUGACUUAUCAAAUAAUCACUUAGACGGGUAUAUCACAUCUGUCAGAUUGUAAGUGAAUGCCUCAAACAAGUUAAGAGGGUGUUCCGUGGUUUUGGAACUGUUUGAACUAGUGCAUCUAAUUCUUCAGUUCUACGUUGUCACUUAAUCAACGGAACAUGGUUCGAUAUCGUCGAUUUUCAUUUAUGUCGGUAGCUACCAUAUAAGUGAAAACAUCAUUGAUGGUAAUCUCAUUUCAAUUCUAUUUAGCUCAUCCAAACUAGUAUACUGGACCAAGAACUUCAAGUCUCGGGAGUAAUCCAGAUUACUCUCAUGAGAUGGAAAUGAUUUGAGACAUCGAUCAAGU